rfam:Trichobilharzia regenti genome assembly, scaffold: TRE_scaffold0035165
GUACUGAUGAAGAGUCCCAAAUUAAGAUGAAACAGCUGUCCAGUAC